rnacentral:rRNA from 1 species
CCUACGGGAGGCAGCAGUGAGGAAUAUUGGUCAAUGGGCGUAAGCCUGAACCAGCCAAGUCGCGUGAGGGAAGAAGGUUCUAUGGAUCGUAAACCUCUUUUAUAAGGGAAUAAAGUGCGGGACGUGUCCCGUUCCGUGUGUACCCUAUGAAUAAGGAUCGGCUAACUCCGUGCCAGCAGCCGCGGUAAUACGGAGGAUCCGAGCGUUAUCCGGAUUUAUUGGGUUUAAAGGGUGCGUAGGCGGCCAGUUAAGUCAGCGGUGAAAGUUGGUGGCUCAACCAUAGAAUUGCCGUUGAAACUGGGUGUCUUGAGUAAGUGUGAGGCAUGCGGAAUGCGUGGUGUAGCGGUGAAAUGCUUAGAUAUCACGCAGAACCCCGAUUGCGAAGGCAGCAUGCCGGGGCAUAACUGACGCUGAUGCACGAAAGCGUGGGGAUCGAACAGGAUUAGAUACCCCAGUAGUC